rnacentral:rRNA from 1 species
GAUGAACGCUGGCGGCGUGCCUAAUACAUGCCAGUCGAGCGAACAGACGAGGAGCUUGCUCCUCUGACGUUAGCGGCGGACGGGUGAGUAACACGUGGAUAACCUACCUAUAAGACUGGGAUAACUUCGGGAAACCUGAGCUAAUACCGGAUAAUAUAUUGAACCGCAUGGUUCAAUAGUGAAAGACGGUUUUGCUGUCACUUAUAGAUGGAUCCGCGCCGCAUUAGCUAGUUGGUAAGGUAACGGCUUACCAAGGCAACGAUGCGUAGCCGACCUGAGAGGGUGAUCGGCCACACUGGAACUGAGACACGGUCCAGACUCCUACGGGAGGCAGCAGUAGGGAAUCUUCCGCAAUGGGCGAAAGCCUGACGGAGCAACGCCGCGUGAGUGAUGAAGGUCUUCGGAUCGUAAAACUCUGUUAUUAGGGAAGAACAAAUGUGUAAGUAACUAUGCACGUCUUGACGGUACCUAAUCAGAAAGCCACGGCUAACUACGUG